UAAAUGGCAACAAUAUCAACCAGACUACAUUCGCUGCAACAGCAGCGAGAAGCAAGGAAUUUUCUUGUACGGAUCUAAAUUAAGACUGGAAAAAGCGCUAUAUCAUUGCUGCACAUCUGCACAGUCUCAACCAGGGUUUAGCUUCUGAAAGACAUGUGUCUAGCUGAGGCAGCUAAAUUAAGACUGGAAAAAGCGCUAUAUCAUUGCUGCACAUCUGCACAGUCUCAACCAGCCUCUCCAUUUCAGGCUCUCUUUUUGCGUACAGUUUUAAGUCAUCCACGCUCAUAGUGUGCGUUGACUUUGCGUAGGACUACAGAAAGUGGGGACAAGGCUUUAACAAAUCUAAGUGCUGCUUGUUGCAGAAAAGACGUGUCUUCCAACAAGGCAUUCUAUUCUUAAUCACUACACACACGUUCUCAGCUAUUCCACACAUGUCGAAUGUUUCCAGAAUCCACGAAUGUGGCAACAUGUCAAAAUUGAAAAAUUUACAGUAAGCAAACAGACAUAAACAGACAUAUGUACAUGGACCCCCAUCUCUCUCACUCUCUCUCACAUAUAUACACACAAAGAAAGUGAUAAACAGAAAAUGAAAUUUAAUACAAGAUUAAAGGAUCCACAUAGGAAACUACUGGUCUAGAGCACAAUUUUCCAUGACCCCUGAAAAUUUAUUGUGAACCUCCAAUUUGCUGCAUUUCAUUUGUAUGGACCCCAGUUGAGAACCCCUCAUGUAAACUUUACUGACCAAUUUUUACUCCCAGCUGCAUAACCUAUACUGACCAAAUUUUAUUCCCAAAGAUGAUGCAAUGGUACAAAAUGAGAGAAAAGAAAUAAAUAAAAAAUUAUUCAUUUUGACUCAGUUAUCAAUUUUGCUCCACUUGACAAGACAACACAUGCUCACAGAAAUUACCAACUACUGUGUUGUGAUUUUUUGAGUCAAAACAAAAGAAUGCCUGCAAUAA